rnacentral:rRNA from 1 species
AGAGUUUGAUCAUGGCUCAGAUUGAACGCUGGCGGCAGGCCUAACACAUGCAAGUCGAGCGGUAGCACAGAGAGCUUGCUCUCGGGUGACGAGCGGCGGACGGGUGAGUAAUGUCUGGGAAACUGCCUGAUGGAGGGGGAUAACUACUGGAAACGGUAGCUAAUACCGCAUAACGUCGCAAGACCAAAGUGGGGGACCUUCGGGCCUCAUGCCAUCAGAUGUGCCCAGAUGGGAUUAGCUAGUAGGUGGGGUAACGGCUCACCUAGGCGACGAUCCCUAGCUGGUCUGAGAGGAUGACCAGCCACACUGGAACUGAGACACGGUCCAGACUCCUACGGGAGGCAGCAGUGGGGAAUAUUGCACAAUGGGCGCAAGCCUGAUGCAGCCAUGCCGCGUGUGUGAAGAAGGCCUUCGGGUUGUAAAGCACUUUCAGCGGGGAGGAAGGCGAUAAGGUUAAUAACCUCAUCGAUUGACGUUACCCGCAGAAGAAGCACCGGCUAACUCCGUGCCAGCAGCCGCGGUAAUACGGAGGGUGCAAGCGUUAAUCGGAAUUACUGGGCGUAAAGCGCACGCAGGCGGUCUGUCAAGUCGGAUGUGAAAUCCCCGGGCUCAACCUGGGAACUGCAUUCGAAACUGGCAGGCUAGAGUCUUGUAGAGGGGGGUAGAAUUCCAGGUGUAGCGGUGAAAUGCGUAGAGAUCUGGAGGAAUACCGGUGGCGAAGGCGGCCCCCUGGACAAAGACUGACGCUCAGGUGCGAAAGCGUGGGGAGCAAACAGGAUUAGAUACCCUGGUAGUCCACGCCGUAAACGAUGUCGAUUUGGAGGUUGUGCCCUUGAGGCGUGGCUUCCGGAGCUAACGCGUUAAAUCGACCGCCUGGGGAGUACGGCCGCAAGGUUAAAACUCAAAUGAAUUGACGGGGGCCCGCACAAGCGGUGGAGCAUGUGGUUUAAUUCGAUGCAACGCGAAGAACCUUACCUGGUCUUGACAUCCACAGAACUUAGCAGAGAUGCUUUGGUGCCUUCGGGAACUGUGAGACAGGUGCUGCAUGGCUGUCGUCAGCUCGUGUUGUGAAAUGUUGGGUUAAGUCCCGCAACGAGCGCAACCCUUAUCCUUUGUUGCCAGCGGUUAGGCCGGGAACUCAAAGGAGACUGCCAGUGAUAAACUGGAGGAAGGUGGGGAUGACGUCAAGUCAUCAUGGCCCUUACGACCAGGGCUACACACGUGCUACAAUGGCAUAUACAAAGAGAAGCGACCUCGCGAGAGCAAGCGGACCUCAUAAAGUAUGUCGUAGUCCGGAUUGGAGUCUGCAACUCGACUCCAUGAAGUCGGAAUCGCUAGUAAUCGUAGAUCAGAAUGCUACGGUGAAUACGUUCCCGGGCCUUGUACACACCGCCCGUCACACCAUGGGAGUGGGUUGCAAAAGAAGUAGGUAGCUUAACCUUCGGGAGGGCGCUUACCACUUUGUGAUUCAUGACUGGGGUGAAGUCGUAACAAGGUAACCGUAGGGGAACCUGCGGUUG